CCUCACUUUUGGUAUACAGGCCUCGUAUCUUGAGGUUGAGUUGUAUGGUGGGAUCCAGUUCCUGUUGACGAGCAUCGGCGAGAGAGGCGCCACGACCUGGUGGUCGCCCUGGUACACUGUCCUGCAACAACUGGUCUCGCACUGAAGGGUUCGGGUGACCACAGCCAGACAGCGGGGAGAGCGAGGACUGCCCCGGGUCCUGAAGAACAUCUAUAACGACGGUAUAAAGUGGCACCACAUGGACUCGUCUGACAUCAGCCUUUUGGAUUUUUUCUUUGCCAGAAAAUGGCCUACUUUACUCUAUGGUAAAGUUGUAAAAAUAAAAUAUAAAUUCAAAUUAGCUUGUUAUACUUUACAGCCACCUCGCGAGGUGGUGUACAAUGAAUGACUUUUGUCCUGUUUGGCAGUGUAUUACUUGGUAUCUUGAAGAAACA